CCUCCUCCUCCUCCUCUUUCCUCGGCGCCUUUUAAGUUUCGGAUUACUGAAAGCGAGAAAGGCACUCAAGCGAGAUAAGGCGGGAAAACUCAAGCCAGAGAGAGAGAGAGAGAGGUUGGCUGAAUUCUCCAAAUACGCACAGCCCUCCAAGAAUAGAAACCAGAAGCAGCCACGAGGGGCUCGGUCGGAGGCAUCGCCCUGCAGAUUUGCCACCCUCCCUCCCCCUGUACUGAUGUGAGAGCUGCCCCGGGAAGAAAGCGGAUGGGUUCCUUGGAGGUGUGGUGCUGCUGGAGAAAGGGGCUGAGGAUGCCAGGGAUGGCCAAGAGGACCAGCAAAUGGGUCCUGCAACAGCUCAAGGCAGAACUCUCUUUGGAAGUCAAGAUGAGGAGGCUUGCAUAUCUUGGCCGCAUGAUGAGAUGGCCCAACUCCUUAGUAAAGACAACCAUGCUAGCAAAGCCUACAACCAGAAAUGGGGAAAGUUAUCAGCACAGCUGAAAAUUCAACAAAUGAAGAAUCUUUGUGCCAAGGGAAAAGGUUCACUAGUUGAACUCCAGCCCAGCGGACUGUCCAGAGGAAGAGAGACAACAGGAAAAAGGGCAAUAGACCCAGAGAGGGAAGUAGAGCUAGCUAAGUGAGAUGGCUGAGGGGGCCUCCAACCAUGUGAUGGGCAAUGGAACAGGGCAGCAAGGUGAGGUGGUUGU